AGGAGAUUAAGAAGACAUUAUUUUUUGAAUUUUCCAGAUGUAGAAACUUAUCAUCCUGCUAUCCAAAAUUAGUUUGAGCAAUCAUCAUCCCCAGUGGUGAUGUCAGUUGCCUUCAGAAGUCAGAAUUUUAUAGAUUUCCAAGACUGCUUUUUCACUGCUCAACCAAAUCCCACAUUCCUAAUCCCAACAAAAGAAUUGUGAUGGGGAAGAUGGUGCAGGUAACAAUAUUAGAGCCAGAGAUGCCGCCUUAGAUGAAUCCCCAAGCCUCUAGGAGCCUCACUUCUCUCAACUAUCAAUCCUUUAAUACUCACAAUAGCAGCCCUUACUUUGCCACCACACAAAGUUUUUGCAAGAAUCAGUAGAAAGCCGCGCAGAUGUGAGAUUGCUUGGAAAACCAGGAAAUCCUCAGAUUGGAAGAAAAGGAAUACCCCGCCCACCCCCACCCCCAUUCUGGCCCUUCUUGUUGGCUCUACGACUUUUGGCGAGCUCCUUUUGUGAGUUGCAGAUGCUUGAUCUGUAACGUGGAUGUAAAAGAAGGAGUGAUGUAGUAGGUCAGAGAGCACCAUAAAAUGAUCACAUUUUUAGGGGCUUAAAACAACACACAUCUAUUAUCUAACAACUUCCAUGGGUCAGAAGUCAGGCAUGGCCUAACAAGGCUCUCAAGCCCUCCCAAGGCUACAAUCAUGGUGGUGAGUGCUCUUUGUUCUCCUCUGGAGCUUAGAGUCUUUUCCCAAGGUUACAUGGUUGUUGGAAAUGGAGUCUCUACAUCACAAGGCAGCCUGCCCCUUCCACAGUGAAAGCAUAGCCCAGACUGGAACUGAGGGAGAGGAAGCCCAUCUCCUCGGCUGAAUGUGCCAAGAUAGAACUUCUGUAACAUGGACCUUGAUGCGAGCAGUGAAGCAGUGUCGGGCUCAAAUGUCACAGGCUUCCACUGUUCUCACUGAGAUUUCACAACCCAGAACUGUCUAUCUCCGGACCCUGGGAACCAUCUCUUUGCAACACAAUCGUCACAGAAGUACCGUCCCUUUCUCCCAGCCUCUGCUACAAGGUGGGAGCCUGACUUUGGUGAGUGCAUUGCUCCAAGUUGUUGGACUCCCUCCUGUCAUAAGGUGAAAAUGUUUACUUUUCUUGAGUAAAAUCAAUUGACAAACACAGAUGGCCCAUGAUCUCCUUCACACUCCAGCACUUGAAGUCCUUCCUGCCUUUUGUUUCAGCAAAGUUCAGCUCUGACUGAGUCCUGGCCUCGCUCCUCUAUUGCAAUGGCCUUGAAUAAACUCUUUCUUCC
rnacentral:lncRNA from 1 species